ACGCACGCUGGCGGCGUGCUUAACACCUGCAAGUCGCACGGAAAGGCCCUGCUUUUGUGGGGUGCUCGAGUGGCGAACGGGUGAGUAACACGUGAGUAACCUGCCCUUGACUUUGGGAUAACUUCAGGAAACUGGGGCUAAUACCGGAUAGGAGCUCCUGCUGCAUGGUGGGGGUUGGAAAGUUUCGGCGGUUGGGGAUGGACUCGCGGCUUAUCAGCUUGUUGGUGGGGUAGUGGCUUACCAAGGCUUUGACGGGUAGCCGGCCUGAGAGGGUGACCGGCCACAUUGGGACUGAGAUACGGCCCAGACUCCUACGGGAGGAAGCAGUGGGGAAUAUUGCACAAUGGGCGGAAGCCUGAUGCAGCAACGCCGCGUGCGGGAUGACGGCCUUCGGGUUGUAAACCGCUUUCGCCUGUGACGAAGCGUGAGUGACGGUAAUGGGUAAAGAAGCACCGGCUAACUACGUG
rnacentral:rRNA from 1 species